GUGCCCUGAGGCAUGUCCCCAAGUGUCCCCAAAUGUCCCCAAGGGUGUCCUGGCACAUCCCCAGACCAGGCUGUGCCCUGAGGGGUGUCCUCAGAUAUC